rnacentral:lncRNA from 1 species
AGGAAUGCUGGCAGCCACCAGCAGCUAGAACAGGCACAGAAUGGACACCCUACAGCCUCCAGAGAGAGCACAGCCCUGGCAACACCUUGGUUUUGGCCUUCCGGCCGCCUGAACCAUAAGAGAAUAGAUUUCUCUUGUUUUAAGCUGCCCAGUUGGUGGUAAUUUACUACAUCAGCCGGAGACAACUAACACAGACGCCUGAGGCAAGGUCCCAUUCCGUAAAUGAGGCAAGAGAGCACUGAGGAGACGGAGAGAAGGUUCCGUGCCUGGGGCCUCCUGGCCGGGAAAGCAGGGUGAGCUGGGGCUGCAGGUGUGUGGCAGGUGUUCUGCUACCUGUGGAAUUCCAAGCAAAAGGGGCCAAGUGGAGAAGCUUUCUGAAACAGUCCCCAGUUUAAUGACCUACUGAACUGGACACUUCCUAGUCUCCAAAUAUCCUCUCUUCAUUCUGAGAACAUCAUGAAGCCCCAGUGCCCUCUGGAUAUGAACUCUGGCUAGGGUGCCCUAACCUAACCUUCUCUGUGUAGUUGGUGAACUCCUAUUCACCCUUCAAGACCCAGCUGAAGCAGACCCUCCUCUGUGAAUUCUGGAUUCUCCCUCUCCAUGGAGUUGGACCCAUUCUUUGUGUUGGCUUCCAUGUUAGCUCAUCACUGAAUGGUA